rnacentral:rRNA from 1 species
UAGGGAAUCUUCGGCAAUGGGGGCAACCCUGACCGAGCAACGCCGCGUGAGUGAAGAAGGUUUUCGGAUCGUAAAGCUCUGUUGUAAGAGAAGAACGUGUGUGAGAGUGGAAAGUUCACACAGUGACGGUAACUUACCAGAAAGGGACGGCUAACUACGUGCCAGCAGCCGCGGUAAUACGUAGGUCCCGAGCGUUGUCCGGAUUUAUUGGGCGUAAAGCGAGCGCAGGCGGUUUAAUAAGUCUGAAGUUAAAGGCAGUGGCUUAACCAUUGUUUGCGUUGGAAACUGUUAGACUAGAGUGCAGAAGGGGAGAGUGGAAUUCCAUGUGUAGCGGUGAAAUGCGUAGAUAUAUGGAGGAACGCCGGUGGCGAAAGCGGCUCUCUGGUCUGUAACUGACGCUGAGGCUCGAAAGCGUGGGGAGCAAACAGG